rnacentral:rRNA from 1 species
UACGGAAGGUCCGGGCGUUAUCCGGAUUUAUUGGGUUUAAAGGGAGCGCAGGCCGAAGGUUAAGCGUGGCGUGAAAUGUAGCCGCUCAACGGCUGAACUGCGUCGCGAACUGGCUUUCCUGAGUGAGUACGACGUCAGCGGAAUUCGAGGUGUAGCGGUGAAAUGCUUAGAUAUCACGAAGAACCCCGAUUGCGAAGGCAGCUGACGAGUCCUUUACUGACGCUAAAGCUCGAAGGUGCGGGUAUCGAAC